GCGCACCAGUCGCGAAAUUUUGACAAUGGGGGAAACCCUGAUCGAGCGACGCCGCGUGGAGGAUGAAGGUCUUCGGAUUGUAAACUCCUGUCAUUGGGGAACAAGGUGCAUACGUUAACUGCGUGUGUAUUGAUAGUACCCGAAGAGGAAGGGACGGCUAACUCUGUGCCAGCAGCCGCGGUAAUACAGAGGUCCCAAGCGUUGUUCGGAUUCAUUGGGCGUAAAGGGUGCGUAGGCGGCGCGGUAAGUCGGGUGUGAAAUCUCGGAGCUUAACUCCGAAACUGCAUUCGAUACUGCCGUCGCUUGUAGGACGUGGAGGAGGAGGACUGGAAGUUUAACGGUUGGUAGCGGUGGAAUAGCGUAGAUAUCGUAAGGAAGAC
rnacentral:rRNA from 1 species